rnacentral:rRNA from 1 species
GAUGAACGCUGGCGGCGUGCCUAAUACAUGCAAGUAGAACGCUGAAGCUUAGUGCUUGCACCGAGCGGAUGAGUUGCGAACGGGUGAGUAACGCGUAGGUAACCUGCCUCUUAGCGGGGGAUAACUAUUGGAAACGAUAGCUAAUACCGCAUAAAAGUCGACAUUGCAUGAUGUUGACUUGAAAGGUGCAAUUGCAUCACUAAGAGAUGGACCUGCGUUGUAUUAGCUAGUUGGUGAGGUAACGGCUCACCAAGGCAACGAUACAUAGCCGACCUGAGAGGGUGAUCGGCCACACUGGGACUGAGACACGGCCCAGACUCCUACGGGAGGCAGCAGUAGGGAAUCUUCGGCAAUGGGGGCAACCCUGACCGAGCAACGCCGCGUGAGUGAAGAAGGUUUUCGGAUCGUAAAGCUCUGUUGUAAGAGAAGAACGAGUGUGAGAGUGGAAAGUUCACACUGUGACGGUAACUUACCAGAAAGGGACGGCUAACUACGUGCCAGCAGCCGCGGUAAUACGUAGGUCCCGAGCGUUAUCCGGAUUUAUUGGGCGUAAAGCGAGCGCAGGCGGUUAGAUAAGUCUGAAGUUAAAGGCUGUGGCUUAACCAUAGUACGCUUUGGAAACUGUUUAACUUGAGUGCAGAAGGGGAGAGUGGAAUUCCAUGUGUAGCGGUGAAAUGCGUAGAUAUAUGGAGGAACACCGGUGGCGAAAGCGGCUCUCUGGUCUGUAACUGACGCUGAGGCUC